rnacentral:lncRNA from 1 species
UGACCGAGCGACGGCGUGCUGGUCGCCGCGACCCCGUUCUCGUCGCACAGGAACUCCCGGCCGCACGCGCGCUCCACCUCCCGCUCGUAGUCGUGCACCAUCACCUCCGUCUCCGUGCCCUUGGUCCGCGCCAUCACCGCCGCCGAGUAGAUCGCCGACAUCCUCCCCGGCGACCCCUCCGUGAACCUUCAACACCAUGCAUGACAAAAUCAUCAGCUAAUUAAUGAUUUGGUUUCCUUCCUUAUUCAAUGAUUCAAUCCUAAGAAACCAUGGACGACGCGGCAUCCGACAUGCAUGGCGAUGGUGGCAUGUGCACUGGCACGUACCCGCGCGGGCCGUCGACGAGGAUGACGUCCCAGGCGACGUCGUAGAGCUGGUUGGGGAGGUCGUUGAUGGCGAGGCGGCACUCGGAGAAGAGCAGGUUCUGGACGGGGCGGCACUCGGCGGCGCGCGCGGCGCGGGCGGCGUCGAGGAGGUCCGGGAGCUCGCGCACCGCCGUGGCGUAGGCCACGUCGUAGGCCUCCAGCCCCGGGUGCUUCCCUUCCAGGUGCGCCACGUAGUAGGGGUUCUCGUCCAGGAACACCGUGCGCCCGCCGUGGUUCAGCGCGCGCCACAGCGGCGUCUCCGCGCCCAGCCCGAACACCAGCAGGUUGCACGGCGCGCGCCGCCGGAGCACCGACGCGAUCGCG